GUCGCUGUGUGUGUUCCUCCGUUGAAUUAUGAGGCAACUGAAGGAGAGAAUGUUACUAUCUCCUUCAAAACUGCUGGACUGGAGAGAGCCGAUCAAGUGAAGAUAACUCUGACCAGAGGAAGUCAGAAAAAACUGAUUGCGCAGCACUGUCGCUGUGUCCAUCGUGGAGACUGUAGUGUCAGGGAAACAUCGGGAGUCUUACUGAGAGUUGAAGAAGGAACCGUAACUCUUCUACGUGUCAGCUCCAAUAACUCAGGCCUCUAUGAAGUAAUAAUCAUUGGAAGUAAUGUGUCCAGGAUAAAUGCCACACUUGUUGUCAACGAACCUCGGUUGUCCUCCAGUAAUGAGCCACCACAAUCCUCCAUCACAAAACCUCCAGACUCCUCUGAACGCCAAAGGCUUUAUGUGUUAAUUGCUCCAGUUGUAUUCAUCUUGGUGGUCUUGGGGGGUUUGUUUCUUCUGUACAUUUUCAGGAGGAAAUGUAAGUCAUCAGCUGAUGUUGAAGCAGUGUGCUGAACCGCUGCUGUCUCCAGGUAUGAAGCUCAUCACUGGUUUAUGUAU
ensembl:lncRNA